CGCGUAAUGCAGCCUACUAAGGUAGCCAGUCCUAAGCCUGGGUAAAUGCAGAAGGCGAA
rnacentral:ribozyme from 2 species